AAGGUUAAGCCUCACGGUUCAUUAGUACCGGUUAGCUCAACGCAUCGCUGCGCUUACACACCCGGCCUAUCAACGUCGUCGUCUUCAACGUUCCUUCAGGACCCUUAAAGGGUCAGGGAGAACUCAUCUCGGGGCAAGUUUCGUGCUUAGAUGCUUUCAGCACUUAUCUCUUCCGCAUUUAGCUACCGGGCAGUGCCAUUGGCAUGACAACCCGAACACCAGUGAUGCGUCCACUCCGGUCCUCUCGUACUAGGAGCAGCCCCCCUCAGUUCUCCAGCGCCCACGGCAGAUAGGGACCGAACUGUCUCACGACGUUCUAAACCCAGCUCGCGUACCACUUUAAAUGGCGAACAGCCAUACCCUUGGGACCUACUUCAGCCCCAGGAUGUGAUGAGCCGACAUCGAGGUGCCAAACACCGCCGUCGAUAUGAACUCUUGGGCGGUAUCAGCCUGUUAUCCCCGGAGUACCUUUUAUCCGUUGAGCGAUGGCCCUUCCAUUCAGAACCACCGGAUCACUAUGACCUGCUUUCGCACCUGCUCGCGCCGUCACGCUCGCAGUCAAGCUGGCUUAUGCCAUUGCACUAACCUCCUGAUGUCCGACCAGGAUUAGCCAACCUUCGUGCUCCUCCGUUACUCUUUAGGAGGAGACCGCCCCAGUCAAACUACCCACCAGACACUGUCCGCAACCCGGAUCACGGGUCCACGUUAGAACAUCAAACAUUAAAGGGUGGUAUUUCAAGGUCGGCUCCAUGCAGACUGGCGUCCACACUUCAAAGCCUCCCACCUAUCCUACACAUCAAGGCUCAAUGUUCAGUGUCAAGCUAUAGUAAAGGUUCACGGGGUCUUUCCGUCUUGCCGCGGGUACACUGCAUCUUCACAGCGAGUUCAAUUUCACUGAGUCUCGGGUGGAGACAGCCUGGCCAUCAUUACGCCAUUCGUGCAGGUCGGAACUUACCCGACAAGGAAUUUCGCUACCUUAGGACCGUUAUAGUUACGGCCGCCGUUUACCGGGGCUUCGAUCAAGAGCUUCGCUUGCGCUAACCCCAUCAAUUAACCUUCCGGCACCGGGCAGGCGUCACACCGUAUACGUCCACUUUCGUGUUUGCACAGUGCUGUGUUUUUAAUAAACAGUUGCAGCCAGCUGGUAUCUUCGACUGAUUUCAGCUCCACGAGCAAGUCGCUUCACCUACGUAUCAGCGUGCCUUCUCCCGAAGUUACGGCACCAUUUUGCCUAGUUCCUUCACCCGAGUUCUCUCAAGCGCCUUGGUAUUCUCUACCUGACCACCUGUGUCGGUUUGGGGUACGAUUUGAUGUUACCUGAUGCUUAGAGGCUUUUCCUGGAAGCAGGGCAUUUGUUGCUUCAGCACCGUAGUGCCUCGUCAUCACGCCUCGGCCUUGAUUUUCCGGAUUUGCCUGGAAAACCAGCCUACACGCUUAAACCGGGACAACCGUCGCCCGGCCAACAUAGCCUUCUCGUCCCCCUUCGCAGUAACACCAAGUACAGGAAUAUUAACCUGUUUCCCAUCGACUACGCCUUUCGGCCUCGCCUUAGGGGUCGACUCACCCUGCCCCGAUUAACGUUGGACAGGAACCCUUGGUCUUCCGGCGAGCGGGCUUUUCACCCGCUUUAUCGUUACUUAUGUCAGCAUUCGCACUUCUGAUACCUCCAGCAUACCUCACAGCACACCUUCACAGGCUUACAGAACGCUCCCCUACCCAACAACGCAUAAGCGUCGCUGCCGCAGCUUCGGUGCAUGGUUUAGCCCCGUUACAUCUUCCGCGCAGGCCGACUCGACCAGUGAGCUAUUACGCUUUCUUUAAAUGAUGGCUGCUUCUAAGCCAACAUCCUGGCUGUCUGGGCCUUCCCACAUCGUUUCCCACUUAACCAUGACUUUGGGACCUUAGCUGGCGGUCUGGGUUGUUUCCCUCUUCACGACGGACGUUAGCACCCGCCGUGUGUCUCCCGUGAUAACAUUCUCCGGUAUUCGCAGUUUGCAUCGGGUUGGUAAGUCGGGAUGACCCCCUUGCCGAAACAGUGCUCUACCCCCGGAGAUGAAUUCACGAGGCGCUACCUAAAUAGCUUUCGGGGAGAACCAGCUAUCUCCCGGUUUGAUUGGCCUUUCACCCCCAGCCACAAGUCAUCCGCUAAUUUUUCAACAUUAGUCGGUUCGGUCCUCCAGUUAGUGUUACCCAACCUUCAACCUGCCCAUGGCUAGAUCACCGGGUUUCGGGUCUAUACCCUGCAACUUAACGCCCAGUUAAGACUCGGUUUCCCUUCGGCUCCCCUAUUCGGUUAACCUUGCUACAGAAUAUAAGUCGCUGACCCAUUAUACAAAAGGUACGCAGUCACACGCCUAAGCGUGCUCCCACUGCUUGUACGUACACGGUUUCAGGUUCUUUUUCACUCCCCUCGCCGGGGUUCUUUUCGCCUUUCCCUCACGGUACUGGUUCACUAUCGGUCAGUCAGGAGUAUUUAGCCUUGGAGGAUGGUCCCCCCAUAUUCAGACAGGAUACCACGUGUCCCGCCCUACUCAUCGAGCUCACAGUAUGUGCAUUUUUGUGUACGGGGCUGUCACCCUGUAUCGCACGCCUUUCCAGACGCUUCCACUAACACACACACUGAUUCAGGCUCUGGGCUGCUCCCCGUUCGCUCGCCGCUACUGGGGGAAUCUCGGUUGAUUUCUUUUCCUCGGGGUACUUAGAUGUUUCAGUUCCCCCGGUUCGCCUCAUUAACCUAUGGAUUCAGUUAAUGAUAGUGUGACGAAUCACACUGGGUUUCCCCAUUCGGAAAUCGCCGGUUAUAACGGUUCAUAUCACCUUACCGACGCUUAUCGCAGAUUAGCACGUCCUUCAUCGCCUCUGACUGCCAGGGCAUCCACCGUGCACGCCUAGUCGCUUAA
rnacentral:rRNA from 1 species